CGGACGGGUGAGUAAUGCUUGGGAAUCUGGCUUAUGGAGGGGGAUAACUACGGGAAACUGUAGCUAAUACCGCGUAAUAUCGAAAGAUUAAAGUGUGGGACCUUCGGGCCACAUGCCAUAGGAUGAGCCCAAGUGGGAUUAGGUAGUUGGUGAGGUAAAGGCUCACCAAGCCGACGAUCUCUAGCUGGUCUGGGAGGAUGACCAGCCACACUGGGACUGAGACACGGCCCAG
rnacentral:rRNA from 1 species